rnacentral:rRNA from 1 species
UAAUACGAAGGGUGCAAGCGUUACUCGGAAUUACUGGGCGUAAAGCGUGCGUAGGUGGUUCGUUAAGUCUGAUGUGAAAGCCCUGGGCUCAACCUGGGAAUUGCAUUGGAUACUGGCGAGCUAGAGUGCGGUAGAGGAUGGCGGAAUUCCCGGUGUAGCAGUGAAAUGCGUAGAGAUCGGGAGGAACAUCUGUGGCGAAGGCGGCCAUCUGGACCAGCACUGACACUGAGGCACGAAAGCGUGGGGAGCAAACAGG